GGGGGGGGGGGGGGGGGGGGGGAGGGGGGGGGGGGCGGGCGGGGGGGGGCGGGUUUUGUGGGGUGGUGGGGUGGCGCACGGGUGGGUAACACGUGAGUAACCUGCCCUUGCCUUUGGGAUAACUUGAGGAAGCUUGGGCUACUCCCGGAUAGAAGCUCCUGCUGCAUGCUGGGGGUUUGAACGUUUCGGCGGUUGGGGAUUGACUAGCGUCUGAUCAGCUUGUUGUUGGGGUAGUGGCUUAACAAGGCUUUGAAGGUUAGCCGGCCUGAGAGGGGGACCGGCCACAUGGGGACGGAGAUACGGCACAGACUCCUACGGGAGGCAGCAGUGGGGAAGAUUGCACAAGGGGCCGAAGCCUGAUGCAGCAACGCCGCUGGCGGGAUGACGGCCUGCGGGUUGUAAACCGCUUUCGCCUGUGACGAAGCGUGAGUGACGGGAAUGGGUAAAGAAGCACCGGCUAACUACGUG
rnacentral:rRNA from 1 species